GGGGUGCUACACUGCCAGUGUCAGGUGCCACAGUGGUGCAGGAUGCUCCUUAGAUGUAUCCUGGAAAGGGAGCUGGGAGACAGCCUGGAGGAGCUACCACCUAUUGUCAAUGUCAGGAACCAAGGAUUCUCCUACGAGUGAAACUACACGUCCCUUCCCAGUGCUGGAGUUCUUUUCAUCACGUAGGAGAACCUGUAGCACUCUUGCCUAAUAAAGCAUAUUGACUUAUCUGUAAACAGGUUAUUCUGACAGAAGUGGGAAAGGAAAUAGAGAACUAUGAACCACCAUUCUUUACCCAGAAUCUGGCCUAACCUCCAAGGAAUAACCUUCAAAACAGCUUGCUUCUA